UCCAAAGUUGGUCCAGGAUGU
rnacentral:piRNA from 1 species